AUCAGGCAACUUCUUUCCAUGAAAGUGAGAUCUGUGCGUCUUGAAGCCGAUAGAUUAUCACAGAAAAACCAGCAACCCUGAUUUUAAAUCAUUUGCCAACAGUGUUAAUGGGCGGUUCCUAAUCCGUUUCUUAAUUUAAGGGUUUGUAAAAUCAAAAAACAGCUCAGAAAUGAUACGAUUAACAUAUGACGGUUGGCCGGACGCGGUGGCUCACGCCUGUAAUCCCAGUAAUUUGGGAGGCUAAGGCGGGUGGAUCACAAGGUCAGGAGUUCAAGACCAGCCUGGCCAACAUGGUGAAACCCUGUCUCUACUAAAAAUCCACAAAUUAGCCGGGUGUGGUGAUGGGCGCCUGUAAUCCCAGCUACUGAGGAGGCUGAGGCAGAGAAGUGCUUGAACCCGGGAGGCAGAAGUUGCAGUGAGCCAAGAUCACGCCACAAAGAAAUGUAUCAGAUUUAAGUUGGGUUGAUCUCAAAGUGAAGGAUGGAGAAAUGAAUUCUCUAUUGUCAUAAGGAAAAGGGAAGUCAUGAAGUUAGAAGGAAGAGAAAGGAGCUCCAGCCUUGCAUUCUUUGGGUGUGGAGAGGAGCAGAGCAGAAUGGAGCCUGCAGGUCAUGCCAGGAGUCACCGCAAGGCUGUGGCUGUCAGCUCAGAAUUCCAUCAUCACUUGGGAGAUUUCUGCGAAUCAUCACUAAAGCCAUUCACUUUCUCAUAACUAAACAAGAAUCUUCUUCUGGAGUUAAGUAUCAGAUAUGAAUGUUCUCACUGACCUCAGGAAGCAAAAGUCCUAAAUCAUUAUAUGGCAGUGAAGGUACAAAAAAAAAAAAAAAUCAGCAGGAAAUAAAGCGGAACUGCUGCCAACACAUACAAGCUGCAGUAGCACCCACAAAAUGUGUAGUAUCUAUUCUAACACAUUCAUUGGACUGAUUACAUUGGCUCAUAGACUUGGUUAACUCUGGAAGAACAUAAUAGGUGUUUAUUGUUUACUAUGGGGAUGGGAAACAUAAUUAAGUCUAUAGUCUCCAAUUCUUCUCAAGUUCAAAUGAAACCAACACUUUUGGUUUUGUCUUAACAUUCAGGAUGUGUUUCUAAUUAAACUGAAAUCACAGUA
rnacentral:lncRNA from 1 species